CAGAGAUCGUGCCCUUCGGGGUAGACCUCCCACCCUGUGUUAUAUAUAAUUGUUGCUUUGGCAGGCCGCUUUCGGGCGCUCGGCUUAGGCUGAGGUGCGCCUGCCAGAGGAUCCAACUCUUGUGUUUAGUGUUGUCCGAGCCUUAUUUAAUAAUUUUA
rnacentral:misc_RNA from 1 species